rnacentral:rRNA from 1 species
CUGAGAGGAUGAUCAGCCACAUUGGGACUGAGACACGGCCCAAACUCCUACGGGAGGCAGCAGUGGGGAAUAUUGGACAAUGGGCGCAAGCUUGAUCCAGCCAUGCCGCGUGAGUGAUGAAGGCCCUAGGGUUGUAAAGCUCUUUCACCGGAGAAGAUAAUGACGGUAUCCGGAGAGGAAGCCCCGGCUAACUUCGUGCCAGCACCCGCGGUAAUACGAAGGGGGCUAGCGUUGUUCGGAUUUACUGGGCGUAAAGCGCACGUAGGCUGAUCGAUCAGUCACGGGUGAAAUCCCAGGGCUCAACCCUGGAACUGCCUUUGAUACUGUCGAUCUGGAGUAUGGAAGAGGUAAGUGGAAUUCCGAGUGUAGAGGUGAAAUUCGUAGAUAUUCGGAGGAACACCAGUGGCGAAGGCGGCUUACUGGUCCAUUACUGACGCUGAGGUGCGAAAGCGUGGGGAGCAAACAGGAUUAGAUACCCUGGUAGUCCACGCCGUAAACGAUGGAUGCUAGCCGUCGGGGAGCUUGCUCUUCGGUGGCGCAGUUAACACUUUAAGCAUCCCGCCUGGGGAGUACGGUCGCAAGAUUAAAACUCAAAGGAAUUGACGGGGGGCCGCACAAACGGUGGAGCAUGUGGUUUAAUUCGAAGCAACGCGCAGAACCUUACCAGCCCUUGACAUCCUGUGUUUCCAGUAGAGAUAUUGGGUCCACUUCGGUGGCGCAGAGACAGGUGCUGCAUGGCUGUCGUCAGCUCGUGUCCUGAGAUGUUGGGUUAAGUCCCGCAACGAGCGCAACCCUCGCCCUUAGUUGCCAGCAUUAAGUUGGGCACUCUAAGGGGACUGCCGGUGAUAAGCCGAGAGGAAGGUGGGGAUGACGUCAAGUCCUCAUGGCCCUUACGGGCUGGGCUACACACGUGCUACAAUGGUGGUGACAGUGGGCAGCGAGCACGCGAGUGUGAGCUAAUCUCCAAAAGCCAUCUCAGUUCGG